AGCCUCUUGUGCUUACCACAGGAUGUGUUCUUACACUGACUGUAUAGAAAUAAGGCAAAUCAAACCUACUCCAUGCACACCUCAGCCCAGGCCCAGUUCCUGGUCUAUAUUGAGAAUGGGGAGACAUGG